rnacentral:lncRNA from 1 species
CCUAGAAGUCAACUUGGGGAACUUAUCAUACCUAAUAAUAAUAAUAAAAGAGCAACUUCUAUGCAUCACUGCAUUCUCAGUUGUACUGAGGUAUUUUCCUUUGUGCAACAGGAAAGAAAACAUACAAGCAACUUAAAAGAUUAUCUGAAGAACCUCACUCUGAAGUUGCUUCUUCACACCCUCCUGGAAGAAUGGGAAAUGAAAAGAGAAUGCCCAUCAGUGUCUAAAUCAGAAAGCUGGCAGGGUGACUGUCAGUUUUAAUGAACAUCGCCCUCUUCUAACUAGUAGCAAAAAUUCUAGUCAUGUGACCUAUUGACAAGAAAUUGAAUUCCAUAGUGAUUUCGAAUAGUCUUCUUUUUAGCUUAGGAAUGAAGAAAAUGGCUCUCUUCGAAGAGGUAAGAUGGUAUGACAUAGUAGUGAUCAGGUCCUAGCCCAGAAGGCAGAUCAUGCAGGUGCUCACUGCUGAGAGAGACUGGCCAUGGCCAAGAGGAGAGAAGUGGGGAAAGGAGAGAGAGAGAAGAAAGGCUAGAGUAAGAGGGAGAGAGAAUAAGAGAGUGAGAGGAGAGGUCAGAGAUAGAGGUGGGGCCAAGCAGCUGUUAUCUUUACUGUUGCUAGGUAACUGGGAGGAGUCUAGCCUGAAGGUGAGAAGCUUGGGACAUUGUCUACGUGACUGUUAGCCACACUUCUCUUGUGGGGGCUGUGGAGGCGGUAACUUCUACUGGAGCCAAGGUUCCAGGAGACAUGAAAGAACGCCUACUGUCCCCAUGUAGGUGAAUUAUCACCAUUCAGGUUCUACCAGGGUUCAGACCUCAACUCGGCAGGAGACCAGGCUGUCUGUGUAUAGCCCAAUGUCCCACACUUUACUUUCUUCCCUUCUCCUCCAUUUCUUCUUCUUCCUCUUCCUCCUGCUCUUCCUCCUCUAAAGUGGGAAUUCCUGAUUUUGUUGGAGAUUCAGUUGUGUCAUGCGGUGCUUUUCUGGAAACUGCCCUGUGAGAAGCUCGUUUCCUGAAGCAGACUCGUGACAGGAUGUUUGCUGAGAACAGACGCGUGGUAUUUUCCUGGAAGUUGCCUAGUGAAGUGACAUGUGAUGUUUUGCUGGAGCUGAUGCUUGAGAGGCAAUGUGAUGUUUGGAAAGAGGAUGAGUCUAACCCAACAGACUGUGGACAGUGUUCUUGUAUUGCUUCUCUUUGGAACUCUGCGGGUCAUUGUUGGGCUUCACUGGUGCUGGUCUCCCGCUGAUGAAAUUCUUGCAUUGGUUCGCCUUGCUUUUUUAGCUGAUCUUCACUUGUCAUGACUUCGUAGAGAGACAUGCACCAAAGAACUUCUGGUGGUAUUCCAGCUGCUUCUUGCUGCUUCCACAGACUGGUUCCAAUCGGCAGAUCCCUGCUGCUUCUUCUGGAUAAAGCCACUGCUACUGAGUCGUGUUUGGUGUUUUGCUAGUGGACUGAACUGCUGACAACGAUGAUUGGAAUCACCCCAAAGAACAAUUUCUAAACAGGUCCAUAACCCCUAUUUUCUAGUAACCUUUCUUUCCCCCUACUUCUGGUGGGUGGUGGGCUAGAAGAGAGGUAGACGUGUUAACCAUAAUUACAGUAGGUUUUGAAAAAUCUAAGACUACACUCCCUCCUUCUUCUAGAUGAAAAAAAAAAAAGCCAAAGACCAAACAGCAGUGUAACAUAGUUUCUUGGAGACCCUCUGCCCCAGCGUGUUUGAAAGGAUAAUGCCUAAGGUACUAAGUGUACUCUCUGCUCGAAUAGCUAAAAAGAAUGAUUUUCAUUAAAAAAUUUCCAGGAAAGCCAGGCGUGGUGGCACAUGCCUUUAAUCCCAGCACUAGGGAGGCAGAGGCAGGCGGAUUUCUGAGUUCGAGGCCAGCCUGGUCUACAGAGUGAGUUCCAGGACAGCCAGGGCUACACAGAGAAACCCUGUCUCGAAAAAAAAAAAAUUCCAGGAAAAAAGUAGUUCAAAAUGAAACGAGAAACUAGAGAAGCACAGCA